UAUUAACAGCAUUCCAAAAGGAAGAGCCAGGCAUGCCUCCUCUUUAGCAGGCAGAGCACAAAACAGACUAUGACACCAAAGAGAACACAAUUCUGGCACUGGAAAGGGUAAAAUAGUAACAAGCCAUCUGAACCUUGAUGGUUUCUAGAAUCUACCAGCAAAUAUUUUGCUAUGAAAGUAGGUUACCAUGGUGGACAUUCUGUGAGGAACAAUGGCCAUGCCAACAGUUGUCUUGUCCUUGCUGAGGGGAGGAAAAUUAACACUGCUAGAAGCGGAGGUUGGCUCCGUCGUGCUCGCCACCAGAGCUUCUCUUCCACUGGGACCAAGCACUGAGAAUACAUGUUUUGUACAAAUUUGGUCACUUUUUGGGGUGAUCUGAGGGCUGAGGGGGUUAGCAGGACCCUCUGCUGCUGGAGUCCUCCACACAUGACAGCUGGAUCGUCGCUUUGCCAUUACAGGGCACAGGGAGGGCAAGUGCUGCUGAAUGGAUCGAGAUGGACCUCGCAGGUCUGGGUCUUGGUUUUGCUGAUUCAUGGAUCAGAAGGCCAUAGGAAGUCAUUACAGAGAUUCAGCCUCACCUGUUAAGGAGGACUGGCUGUAGCACUUCCCACUCUCGUUUACUUUUAAAUGAAAUGGAACAUAUAUACUUUUAGGAAAAAAUAAAACACCGGAGCUAAGUUAAAAACUAGUUACUGCUGGGAAGGUGCUGAUGCUGUAAGGCCUGAACAGGGCACUGGCAGAGAAGUGCCAGGAUGCAUAAUCCAUGGAGGCGCGUGCAGUCCUGGUAGCCAGGAUCCCACACCCCCAGUCCUCCUGAGCCCAGAAGUAGGUUUGAGUCCAUUGGUCAGGAGGAGGGAUUUGGUUUAUCACUCUGAUAACUUUUGCCACCGAAGCUGGGCUCUGGUCUGAAAUAUU